ensembl:lncRNA
AUGUGCGGCUCGUCGCGGCGUCCCAUUCAACCGCCGGGGCUCGCCCCACCCCCUCCGCCUCGCCCCGCCCCGUUCGGUGACGUCAUGGGCGUGGCCCGCAGCGCGGGCGACGGGCGCGCGGGCGGGAGAGCGCGGAGGCUCGGAGGCCUGUGCAGCCGUAGCCGCUGCCCCACCUCAGUGUUAGUUUCUAGGCGCCGCGGUUUUCUGCGCUUCAGCAGUGGAUCUUGGUGGGUUCGGGGCAGCUUGGGGCGGACAAGAAUGCUGAAGGUCUGGAAAAUCUUGCUGGAAGAGAUGGUACUUCAGGAAACUCAAAGCAGGAUGAUUGCCAGCCUUGGAAUGGGAUUGUUUCUGUCCCUGGAGUGUAAGAAAAGGCAAGACCUUCCCUGUGACAGCAAAGAGAUUAGGGCUUUUGCCCAUACUGCUCCCUUUGCUGAACACUGCAUCUGGGUCACUCGAAUUCACCCACGAGGUCUCUGUUUAGACGAUGCUUGUUCCAGACAGGUCUGUGUACCAUUCGGUUACUUGCCCGUUUCCUGAAUUACAAGCUUUAUGAAGCUUAGGCAAUGCUCAGUUCCUUUUCCUGGUUAAUAUGCAUCUGCUGCUGCUUCUUAGUUGCUUCAGUCGUGUCCGACUCUGUGCGACCCCAGAGACAGCAGCCCACCAGGCUCCCCCGUCCCUGGGAUUCUCCAGGCAAGAACACUGGAGUGGGUUGCCAUUUCCUUCUCCAAUGCAUGAAAGUGAAAAGUGAAAGUGAAGUCGCUCAGUCAUGUCCGACUCUUCAUGAGCCCAUGGACUGCAGCACAUCAGGCUCCUCCGUCCAUGGGAUUUUCCAGGCAAGAGUGCUGGAGUGGGGUGCCAUUGCCUUCCUUUCUCUAUUAAUCAACAAACUUUUUUGCGUAUAAAAAAUGCCCAGGGUAUGACUGAAUUAUACUAUUUUUUUAAGAGAUGAUCCAUAUUUAAUCUACCACUUCCCUAAAUGUCAUAAUUAGAGUGUCUUUAAUUAAUGUUGGUGUCGGUAUAUUUUUCAUUCAAGGAACCUGUAAUCACAUCUAUCAUACCAUAAGAGAGAGAUAAGUAAUUCAUAUGUACAUUUAGAACUAAAAGAGGUAGAUAAUUCUUACACCUUAAAAUAUAUACUAAUAAUUAGUGUAAUUAAUUGCAUCACAUUUAAUUAAGAAUAUUCUUUUAAUUUACUUAUAUAUGCCAUGAUACCUAGUUAUAUUUCUACUCUUGAGUGGAAAAAUUAUUCUGUAUUCUUGAUGAAAACAAUGUGAUCAACCUUAAAUAAUGAUCCAAUUCAAAAUGAAUGCCUGAAAAUGAGAGAGGGUGCUUUCAGCCUUCUGAAUAUUUUCUUGAUCCAAAUGUCCAGAACCUUUUCUCAAAUAGAAAGUUGAAUACAUUUCUUGUUACAAAUCGAGGAGAGUUGCUGUAUUUAGACAACGGUAGGCUUCUUAUUGGGUAGACUACAAGGAGAUCAAACUGGUCAAUCCUAAAGGAAAUCAAUCCUGAAUACUCAUCGGAAGGACCGAUGCUGAAGUCCAAUUCUUUGGCCACCUGACGCAAAUAACUGACUCAUUGGAAAAGACUCUGAUGCUGGGAAAGAUUGAAGGCAGGAGGAGAAGGGGAAGACAGAAGCUGAGAUGGUUGGAUGGCCUCACUGACUCGAUGGACGUGAGUUUGAACAAGCUCCCGGAGUUGGUGAUGUACAGGGAAGCCUGACAUGCUGCAGUCCAUGGGGUUGCAGAGUCGGACACUGAGUUACUGAACUGAACUAAACUGAGGCUUUCCCCCUGAGCUGUGAGAUCACGUUUUCUGAAGGAAACAAAGGAUUAGAGGAGACAAAUUUACCAGAACUACUUUUUUUUUUUUUUUUGUGGGAAAAGACAUACAAUGAAGUGAGAAUGUAUUAUUAGACUGCCUACUAGAAAAAAAAAAAUAGGGAGGUUGUAACUAAAGAUGGUCAAGUUUAAGGAGAAUCAGAUCUGUUGAGGUAACCUUGAAUUGAACUGAGUUUCCAAGAAUAAGGAGUGGUCAAAGAAUGUUAAGUGAAAAGACAACCCACAGAAUGAAAGAAAAUAUUUGCAAAUCCCGUAUCUGAUAAGGGGCUUCUCUAUAAUCUGUAAAGACCUCUUGUUGUUUAGUCAGUCACUUGUGCCCGACUCUUUGCGACCCCAUGGACUGUAGCCUGCCAGGCUCCUCAGUCCAUGGCAUUUGCCAGGCAAGAAUACUGGGGUGGAUUGCUAUACCCUCCUCCCGGGGAGCUCCCUGACCCAGGGUUGGAACCCCAGUCUCCUGAAUUGGCAGGUGGAUUCCUUAUCUCUGAGCCACCAGGGAAGCCCAUAAAGACCUCUUCUAUGCAACAAUAAAAAAGACAACCUAAUUUUAAAAAUAAGCA